CCUGUGGGGAAACUGCUCCGGUGCUGUCAGGUUUGCAGCCAAUGAAGUAGUAGCCUCCCAAGUGUGUAUAUGCCAAUGACUGAGGAACGCACUUAUAGUCCUUCAAGUUAAUUGUCUUGAUGUAUGACAUGGUUUCAAGAUCAAUUUUUUGUAGUGCAGCUUCAUCUUUAUGAAGAAUAAAUCCAAACCUGAAAAAAAUGAAAAUCAGAGUUAGACAGGAAGCAAUGGAGUUUUUAGCCGUAAGAAAAAAACUAGAUACAGGUGGAAAGGUCCAUCGCAGGCUCUAAUUGUCAGGCGAGGCAGCAAUUUGUGUUACAAUUGUGCUAGAAUUAAUCUGUAGAUUGUGCCACUCUCCUUCUUUCUCUAGGUCAUUCUUUCAUUACAUCCAAAUCAUCAUAACUCAUGCUGUAGAAAGAAAAAUAAUUAAAAGCAAUACAUCUAGUUAAUUGCAGCAACAAAUUUUGCUUUUAACAUAGUGGAAAGAAGAAGUAUACAUUAUUCUGUAAGUCUCUAGACCAUGUAAUAUUAAAUAAGCUUGGUUAACUAUUGCCAAACCCAGCAAGAGUAAAAGGCUCGAAUAUAUAUUGGUUUCACUCAUUUCAUUUACUUCUUAUAUUGUUUUUUGACCAUUAAAUAAAUCUGACACUCAUCAUUAUUUAGAUAAAUUUAAGUAUAACAUUUUUCAACCUUUCAAUGUUUAUAUGUUAUUUUUAAUGAUAUGCCUGCAUUUUAUUUGUUAUCCUAUACUGAAUAAUGAAGAACUUUAUUUUUAUAUUAAAGCCAAUUAAACAAUUGUUUGUUUGUUUUGUUGACCUUAAAUUAGUUCAGAACUUUUCAAAGCAUAUUUGCUAAAUAUUGCUUGAGAAUUAUCAGAGAUACCUGUGGCAAGUAUAAAUAUAUUUUUAAACUCACCUAGAACACAAGCAACUUUCUAGCAAAAAUAAGUUAAACAAGAUACAAUGAGAUAGAAACUAUUAAACAAAAUUAAACAAAAUUAUAUCCAAAGUAGAUAUUGGCCAAUAGAAUUGUAAAGGACUUUUAUUUAUGUUUGCAUUAACAAUAUUGAUUGUCACCUUCUAAUAGUUCUAAAAGCUCAUAAUAAAAAUAAGAGAAAUAUUUUUCCAUUCACUGUGUUCAUAAGUAAUACAAUGAAAUUACCUUAUUAUGAGUAUUAAGAUAAAGCAAAACAAAAACUCUAAAGAGAGCCAAUUAUGUUAUCAUCACCUGUGUAAUUAUCUUUAUGCUAAUUAUCACACAUAAUUAUGACAUGUAGUUUUAUUUAUGUAAAAAAUGACCAUUUCUACACAUAGUACAAAAUAUGGUGCAAUCAGAGUAAUAUCUCUUUAAAAUUUUAAAUGUCAGCAUUUAGCAAGCUCAAAAAUAUAAAUAAACAUAUAUUAAAUAUCAUAGAAAAAUAAAAUAUUCUCAAAAUCAGUCCCGUUUUGCAAUUGCAGAAGAAAGGGAGUGCCUACACACAGAUGUUUUACGAAAAUAGACAUAAAAUUGUAAUUGUUUCCAUUCUUCUUACAUUAAAUAUAGUUGACAAACCAUAUUAUAAUUUUAGCUACAUUUAAAAUUUAUGAGGAGACUAUUUGCUGUCAUUGGAGAGAGUACAAAUUCUUCUAUAUGAAUGAAAAUUCACAGUGUAUAGCUACUCCUUUAUAAAACUUUCUUAAAUAUUUGUUAAACAACUACUAAAUGCAAGGCACUGGGAAUAUAUUGCAGAUCAACAUAACUCUCCCUGUCUCCAAUGAGUCUAGACAUUUUGAGUGAUAAAAAAGUGAAACAGGGCUAGUGAAUAAAGCUUGAUUAUAGCAUUCUGCUAUACUAUUACCUAAUUUUGUAACUAUUUCUUGUUCCAUGUAUUUGAAAUGGCAUAAAGCAAUAUAUUUGAAAAUAAUAUUUUGAGUGUAUUUCUGAAUGAUGCCCACCACUUGUAGCUUAUUUGCUAACUGUUUAUCUUUUCUGUGUCCUUAAUAAAUGUGUUUGUGUCCUUUCAGUAAACCCAGCUCAUACCAUACCCAUUCAGGAUAAAUUUCAGUCUUGAUUAUGAUGGUAUGAAGAAACAUUCAUACUGUUGAUAAUUACUUAUAUUUUCAUUAAAAUAUUAAUGCCUUGUGUGUAAACAUAGUGUAGUUUUAAAAUCCUAUCUGAAUCAUAAGGAAUAAAAAAGCUUCAAACUGUCAACUGAGUCCCAUAUUUCUGUGUCUCUGCAUCAAAAAAUCAUAAACAUCAUAAGUACCACUAUGUAAUCUCAGAUUUGUCUGAAAAACUAAUGAACUCCAUUUACUAUAAACAAACAUAUAACAUUUUUCUAUUAAUGGACAA
rnacentral:lncRNA from 10 species